UACAGGGGGUGCAAACGUUGCUCGGAAUUAUUGGGCGUAAAGCGCGCGUAGGCGGCCUUUUAAGUCGGAUGUGAAAGCCCUCGGCUCAACUGGGGAAGUGCACCCGAAACUGAAAGGCUUGAGUACUGAAGAGGGUCGCGGAAUUCCCAGUGUAGAGGUGAAAUUCGUAGAUAUUGGGAGGAACACCUGCGGCGAAGGCGGGUUGCUGGGCUGAUACUGACGCUGAGGCGCGAAAGCCAGGGGAGCGAACGGG
rnacentral:rRNA from 1 species